UACGGAGGGUGCAAGCGUUGUCCGGAAUCAUUGGGCGUAAAGAGUUCGUAGGUGGCAUACUAAGUCUGGUGUUAAAGGCAGAAGCUCAACUUCUGUAAGGCACUGGAUACUGGUGAGCUUGAAUGUGGUAGAGGUAAAGGGAAUUCCUGGUGUAGCGGUGAAAUGCGUAGAUAUCAGGAGGAACAUCGGUGGCGAAAGCGCUUUACUGGGCCAUAAUUGACACUGAGGAACGAAAGCCGGGGUAGCAAAUGGG
rnacentral:rRNA from 1 species